CCUACGGGCGGCAGCAGUGAGGAAUAUUGGUCAAUGGUCGAGAGUCUGAACCAGCCAAGUCGCGUGAGGGAGGAAGGUACAGUGGAUUGUAAACUUCUUUUGUCAGGGAAUAAAACGAGGCACGCGUGCCUGGUUGCGUGUACUUGAUGAAUAAGCAUCGGCUAACUCCGUGCCAGCAGCCGCGGUAAUACGGAGGAUCCGAGCGUUAUCCGGAUUUAUUGGGUUUAAAGGGUGCGUAGAUGGGUUGUUAAGUCAGGUGUGAAAGUCUGCGGCUCAACCGUCAAAUUGCAAUUGAUACUGGCAGUCUUGAGUUCGAGUGAGGUAGGCGGAAUGCGCGGUGUAGCGGUGAAAUGCAUAGAUAUCGCGAAGAACCCCGAUUGCGAAGGCAGCAUGCCA
rnacentral:rRNA from 1 species